UUGGAGGGCUAGGAUUGGCCAAGGGAAAGUGCUUUUGAUCAAGUGGUCAUGGUGGAGCAAGACCACUUGUCAUAGGUUUUGUUUGGUAGACUUUUGGGACUUAGAAAAAAUUGUGAAACCUCUCCUUCUCUUCUCUCACAAACCGUCCUUCUCUCCCUCUCACACAAAGCUUCAUUGAUUUUUCAUUUCUCACCCAUUCAAGCUAGGAAUUGUCUUGUUGGAUCAAGGAACUUGCAAGGAUAUCACUACUCAUAAGGGCGCACGAAUUGUUGCAUAACUCGGAAUCGUUUGUAAUUGGAAGUUUCGCCGAGACGAUGGAGCGCCAUCUGAGACCGUAGGCCGUGUGGACGGCGAGGACUUCGUGGA